AAUGAAUGGGGUCCCAUUUAUAUAAUAGGGGAACCCUAAAUAAGGUAUAUUUUUAUUUACAAUAAAGAAUAUUCUUGAUACAAUUGUCUAACCGCCUAGUAUCGUACAAUUCUAUUUCGGGAUUUGAGCCAUGAUCUUGGGGACGUGACAAGAAUCUAGCUCAUCCUGUUACAAAUAUAUAAUGGUACUAUUUCGGGGACGAGCAUACUCGACUUCGGUCUUCCUCGUACUCCUAUAUCCGGGCAUUGCGUCCUGUCUCUGAACUCGAGUCUGGUCCAUCGGGCUCAAACUCGAUCUCACCCUCGAGCCUAUAAAUUGGGAUUUUGACAUUUACAAAAUUAUACAAUAUCACUAUUGCUCAUAUUAAAAUGGCAGAGAACUAUAUUUAUUUGGGAAAGGGUCAAGUACAUCCUAUCUCAUACAAGAUAGGAAUAAGUUUUGUAUGCACUUUACCUUCUCAAAGUCUUAUUUGUUGGAAUUGGGAUCAUACAGAGUAUAUUAUAUUAUUGGUCGUUGUCAAUUAUAUCCUAUGCUAAAUGAAAUAUUUCAAUUUUAUUAUUACUAUUAUUAUACAAUGGAGUCAUUAAUAGCUUCAUUUUUUCGAAUUUGCAUAUUUUCAUAAAGCAACAACAACAACAACAACUACCCAGUAUACUCCCACCAGGUGGGGUCUAGGGAGGGUAAUAU
rnacentral:lncRNA from 1 species